rnacentral:rRNA from 1 species
AAUAUUGGACAAUGGGCGCAAGCCUGAUCCAGCCACGCCGCGUGAGUGAUGAAGGCCUUCGGGUCGUAAAGCUCUGUGGGGAGGGACGAACCGCUGCUGGUGCAUAGCCAGCAGCAUGACGGUACCUCCUGAGCAAGCACCGGCUAACUUCGUGCCAGCAGCCGCGGUAAUACGUAGGUGGCGAGCGUUGUCCGGAUUUACUGGGCGUAAAGAGCGCGCAGGCGGUCGUUCAAGUCGCGUGUGAAAGCCCCCGGCUCAACUGGGGAGGGUCACGCGAUACUGAUCGACUCGAAGGCAGGAGAGGGUAGUGGAAUUCCCGGUGUAGUGGUGAAAUGCGUAGAUAUCGGGAGGAACACCAGUGGCGAAGGCGACUACCUGGCCUGUUCUUGACGCUGAGGCGCGAAAGCUAGGGGAGCAAAC